GGCUGCCUACCAUGCAGUCGAGCGAGAAGGGGAGCAUCCCUGAGUAAAGCGGCAGACGGGUGAGUAACACGUGGGUAAUCUGCCCUCGAGCGGGGAAUAACAUCUCGAAAGAGGUGCUAAUACCGCAUAACGUCCAGGGGCCUGAGGGCUUUUGGACCAAAGGUGGGGAUCUUAGGACCUACCACUCGAGGAGGAGCCCGCGCCUGAUUAGCUAGUUGGUGGGGUAACGGCCUACCAAGGCGACGAUCAGUAGCCGGCCUGAGAGGGUGAACGGCCACACUGGAACUGAGACACGGUCCAGACUCCUACGGGAGGCAGCAGUGGG
rnacentral:rRNA from 1 species